GGUCUCCCUCACAGCUGAACCUGCCUGCACCAUGCUCGUGACCCCCGUCCGGCCUGUGCAUUUGUGGGACCUUGAGCAAAGACCCGUGAGAAGAGGGGCCUUGUGCCGGCUCCUGCUGUGUAUGCAGUGAUGCCCUACCUGACGGGAAGGACCAGCCCAGACCACCCAGCUUCUCAAUGCCGUAUGUCAAGCAAACACAUCCCCUCGGCCUAACUGAUCUCCAGACAGCCUGAUUGAAAGUGUGACACCCUAGCUGCUCCACCUCGACCGGAGGCUGCCACAGGUCACUGAGGCCAGGGGCCAGGCAGGAUGAGGGAAGGCAAAUGUUUCCAUGUUUGCUCAAUUCUGGAUUUCCCCACACCUCACCUAUGAUGGACAUUUCACCUGGCCUGGAGACAGCAUGGAGGGAAGGAAAUUCAGUGCUUACGCCAGCUCAGAGCGAGCGGUGCUGGCGAGCAGGUUCUCGUGCCCUCGGCUGCAGAUCUGUGCCUCCGUCUCCGUGGCAGCAGCAGCGGCGUGACUGUCUCGGUGGGAGAAUCAGCAGUCGUGCUGCAGGCAGCUCCCGCCCAGCACGUCUCCCAGACUCGUGCUGCAGGAAGCUGGGAGCAGAGCGAUGUGCUGGCAGUCACCAGUUCCCCGGAGCGAGCUCCUAGGGUGCCCUGAUAAUGCGAGGGCUAUUGUUCGGGGCUCCGCCCUGCCUCAUUGCUUGCAGACAGUUGUCUGAUGGUCCAUUGUUGCUUUUGCACUCGUGUGCAAGGCUGGAGGGGGCAGGAUCUGAAUUUCACUGUGUGUAAGAUGAAAGGCCUACAGCACUGGCUCCUUGCUUAGCUCUGCCCAUGCACCUCCACCUUGACCUCCAAUUCCUGUGCUUGUUUCCCCCUGCCAGCACCCCUCAGCCUGGACUCCCUGCAUGCCGGCUGUGCCCAUCCUGUACAGCAGUACCCCGUAACCCUACUACGGCAGGUUUCUGAUCUGGGUGCAUCCCUGCAUUGCCUGUCCCAGAGAGACUCCAGCUGGGAUCUGGGCCUCCUUGCUGAAGGAAGAGAAGUUUCCACAAUAACAUCAUGACUCUCAUGUUUCUGAGAGGUGCUAAUUAAGAAAUUUCAGCCCCAGCCCCUGUUCUCUUCAUGUACUUCCUCUUGCUAUCCCACGCAGUGGCCACACGGCAGGCUGCUAACAGGCAUGUAGGAAGAAACAGCUGAAUGAAUGAAUGAAUGAAUGAAUGAAACAGGGCACUGGCUUUUCUAUCUGACUAGGGAGUGGGGGCAUCCCUGUCUCGCAGGGCUCCUGACUGAGUCUGUGUUGGGAGAGGGUCCACAGUAAGGCCCCAUAAAGUUGGCUGAUGGACAAGCCACUCCUAAAAAGUAGCCCAUCUGGGCAACGGCAGGGAUGUGCAUGUGAAUGCAAGAUGGAGGAAACACUCACCGGGAGGAUUUAUUUAUCUGGGACAAGUUCUAAGCUAACCCCCGCACAACGCUGCAUUGCACCUUGCCCCCUUCUGUGUGCUGUCCAAGCCCACUGUUGCCUUAUCCCAUCCUACUCCAGAUCCACAGCUGUGUAGUAGUGUCGACAGAACCUGGACUAACCACCUCUUAGUGGAGAGAUGAGUAUAAUGGACCAGGCCAGGGGUUUAGCUAUUGCCAAGUGACUUGGUUACACCAUGUCCCCUGCGUGGGAGGUACCUAGCCCUGGGCUCUGUUACAGCAGUAAAGCACACAGGGCACGAGAGACUUUAUCAGGAGCUUGUUUGCAUGACAUUUGUCUGCCAGUAGCACUGAGCAGUCCCAGAUUUUAAUGCAUGCGGCUCAGGAGCAGGUGGGUGAGGGUGUGCCCGUAAGCCACAGAGACUACCCAGACAUACCCGGGCAAGGCAGGCCAUGCCCCAAAGCUCUGCCCAUCCUCAGAGACAGACAAGGGGUGGGAGACAGCAAGUAGCAUCAUUUCAUUUUACAGUUGGCAAACUGAGGCCGGGUCAUGAGGUGCAUUCCCCAAGGUCACACAGGGGCUCUGCGACAGAGAUCUCUGCCAGUGGCACUGCUGUGUCUGAGCACCUUGCUGCCAGAAGCCACCCUGGCUUCUCAGCCUGGUCAGGUUAUGCAGUGCCCUGAGGCCAAGACAGGGGGAACGAGGUGUCCAAGCCUGGGGAAUGCCAGCUUGGUGCUAUAACCAGGUCCCUUCUCUCUUCACCAGUCUCUUCAGCUGAGUAACAAUGGGGGGUGAGCAGGGCAUGAGCCCUAGGUGCUGCCUAAGGAGGGACCAGGGGAAUGGAGCUGUGGGGUGCUUCACCCUCCUGUCUCCUCCCUCCCCUUCACCCUGCAGCAGCUCCAGCUCCAACAGGGGAGGGCAAAGCAGCAGCAGUGGCACUUGGUGUCCUUGGUGGCGGUGGCAUGCAGUGCAUGAGCAGUGGCUGGGGGUUUACUGGUCCGGCAGGGGAUAUUACCUCCUUUUUUUUUUUUUUUUUUGCUGUUGAAAAUCAGCAUUUCAAUGGCUGCUCCAUAGGCAGCAAAACCUCUGCCCACCGCCCCUUGACUGUGCACCGCUACCAUCCAGGGUGUGGGACUGCCUGGAUAAACCUCUGUAUCUUUUCUGUGCAUGUCUGGUACCCACCCCACCGCACACAAGCGAUGGCAGACUCGUUAGGCCAAUGCAUCGAUCCACACAACAGUCUCAGCAUAAAGGCGCCAGUGCAGCCUGGUCAGAUCUGCAUGAAGGCAGCUGGGUCACUCUCUGUGGAGCAAACUGGGCAGCUCUUUGGCACUGGCAACUCUCCCAGGCGAACCAGCUUGGAGCAGGGUGCUGGAGGGCUGCUUUCAUCCCACGCCUUGGCUGAAAACCUGUUAAGAUUUUAUCUCUGAUGGGAGGGAGAUCUCCUAACAGCCUUGCCAGGCAGUGUCUGUAGCUCUCUUCCUUGCUUUUGCUGUGUAUCUGGGCUGUCCUUAGCUGUGUGGCAUUACCAGGGAUUCCAGCACAUAUGUAAGGCAGAUGGUAAAGCAGGGACUAAUGAGAUGAACGAUUAAUCCUCACUUUAUUUCCAAAUCAUACAAUCAUGUCAUUAUUAUGCACGGAAACCAGUAAUGGAAGAGACCCACUGGAUCAUCUCAGUGCUAAGGUGGGGUGCUCACAUGCUCUCAGCUGGUGUUGCUCUAUUGCAAUCUCACACCAGCUUGCAACAGCUAGGAGCUGGCCGGCUCAUGACCCCCUCAGUAAGAGGGUUCCCAUCUCUUCUCACUCAGACCUCUGGGUCUUCAGCCUCAUGCUCCACACCAAGCAGUGGCCUAUCUCCCACCCUGGGGUCCAGGUCCUUCAUAUUUGUGGGUUCCCCUCAGUGAAUCUCUCCUUGUUCAUCAGACCCUCCAGCAGCUCAAUCAUUUGGGGGGGGAGGGGUGAACCAGAACUGCAAAUCCAGCAGCCCCAGAUCUUAGGACUUGACUUCAGUCUAAGCACCUGAUUCCCCUCCCACGCAUGCAAGUCAAGAGCAACUCUGCUGAAUUAAACUGAGUGAGGCUGGUAGAGAUGGAGGUGAGAGCAGACUCAGGCUGCAGGAGCUCCGCUUUGGGGCCAUCUCUUCCUACGGCGAGUCCAGCACCCAGACCCAGGCUGCUUUCCUGGAAUCGAGGACAAAAGAAAAAGCCAACAAGUGCCGAGCGUGGCUGUGAGAGUGUGGGAGGAGCUGGGCUGACGUGUAAGAUCCCGCUGCCCUGUUGACACUUUGCAAAUAAACACACGAAUCUU